UGUAGCUAUGGAUUUGAUGUGGGAGAACGCUUAACCCAGGGGCUGCCCUAUGUGUAUCCUCUUGGACCUAUAGCAGUGGUUUGGUUGCAGAGCUGUGAUUAUAUGGACAUUCUCCACACUUGGUAUACAGCAGUUCAGACAUGCAGCCCCAUUGGAAUGUGCUGAUAGAGAUAUACUUUUAAUCAUUCGGCUUCAUUAUAUUAUGAUUGGAUUUGAUGAUUCAUGUAUGGCCCUUCUUGAAAAAGAUCCUGGUUUUUGGAUCGAAACGUCGAAACCUU